UAUAAACCUCCAUUAGCACAGCCUAGGCCGGCAGCCGUCAGAAACGUCUGCUGAGGAAGACACUGCAAAGUGUCAGCAAGGGCGUUUGGGAAUUAAUUUUACCCUAGAGUAGCUGUGCAGGUCUGUUUAGCUCCCACCUCUACAGCUAUGAACACCAGAUAACACUAGAAUCAGCCCGAUGCCUUGAAUGCUUCAUAUGAGGGGGUUUUCGAAAUCUAGCCACAAACAUAUGACCAGAUUUGAAAAGAUUAUGAGAGAUCAGGAAGGAUUCUAUUCUGACCAAGCCCGACACAGGAGAAAGAUUGUGCUGACUAUGGCAUGAGGAUUGACCAGAAGUGAACAGAAAUGGAAGCAGAAAGCCAUGCAUGAAGGCCGUUGCACCAAUCCAGGACAAAGAGAAAGGGGAAGCUUUAAUUGGGCAGGAUAUGCCCAUUGAUAUGAUGUGGCUGGCAAAGGAGAAAGAGACAUUAAGUUUUCUGUGGUUCAUGGUCCUGUUUUUCCAUCUGCAAAGCCAGCAGUGAAACAUCUUCAAAUAUCCUCUCCUGCCACCUUCUUCUUCUGAGGAUUUUUGUGACUACCCAGGGCCCAUGCCAUUAAUCCAGAAUGCAAGAGAACUCAGGCUCUGGGGUAAAGAGAAAAAGAAGAAUCCUAGAGUUACGGAGCCUGGCUAACCCCUUUUCUGUGAAGAUCUGUGUGCUCUUUUGUGCGGUAAUGAAGAGAUGGAAAGAAAAGAAUUGUCCCCACAUGAUCCACCACUAGGCCAGCCAAAAGGACCUCUGACUCUCGGAGCGAAGCGCACCCCACUGCAGGCUCAUUCCCCUCGCUUCUCCGCUGCCAGACGACGCUCUCAGAGAAUGGCUCUGUCCCCGCAACGAUUGUCCAUGAUUUGUGGGUCAGGAGCUGCCACGGGAAAAGUAUCUAAUUCCACUUUCACACACUUGUGGUGUCAGCAACCCAAAUACAGAAAGCUAUUUUGGCCACACUUUAACUACUCAACUUAAAGGCAACGGCACAGAAAAAGAAGCCCACCUGUUGAAACCAAUGAAGAAAUCUCCCAAGUCAUUUCUGAGCUUAAUCAUAUUGAAUUCACCUCGCCUAACAUCCUAUAAGAUCUUGAUCAUCUUAUAACUGGAAGUUUGUACCCUUUGACUGUUGAAGGAAGUCAUUGAGAGGAUAUGACCACUGGUAACGGACAUGGGUAACUGGAGGCUCUUUACCUCUCCCCAUCCUUGGAAUGUACAUUCUGCCCACAGUUCCCACACACUGACCAUUUCCAAGGUCACAGCCUUGAGAGAGCAAUGUGUUGCUGAGACCAUCUGGACAGUGUUUCUGACUGAACCUUGUUAAGGCCUCUAUGUAAAUUUUUCAGAUUCUAGUGGGCUGGUGUGGAGAUCUACUCGUCUUGUAGCCAUCCAACACAAGCCUCGUGUGUAAGUUCCCUUGCUUAAUAAAACUGCCACCUA